rnacentral:misc_RNA from 1 species
ACCAAACUGGAUAUUCUCCUACCACUUCUAAGUCCUCUCCUGAUGACAACACAUCGGAUCUAGUUCAAGAAUCGGCAACAUCUGCCAUACAAGCAAGAAAACCAUCUGAAGGUAUGGCAAGGUGGCUGAUAGAUGAGACAGAUAACAUGAACACCCCUAGUGCUGUGUUACCUGUUGAUAGCUCCUACAAUAGUCAUUCAGAUGUUGAAGAUCAUG